CGUGUAGGCGGUGCGGUAAGUUGGGCGUGAAAUCCCCGAGCUUAACUCGGGGGGCCGUUCAAGACUGCCGUGCUAGGGUGCGGGAGAGGGAAGUGGAAUUUCCGGUGUAGCGGUGAAAUGCGUAGAUAUCGGGAGGAACACCUGCGGCGAAGGCGGCUUCCUGGACCGUAACCGACGCUGAGGCGCGAAAGCUAGGGGAGCAAACAGGAUUAGAUACCCUGGUAGUCCUAGCCCUAAACGAUGAGCACUGGGUGUGGCCCCUCACGGGGCUGUGCCGAAGCUAACGCAUUAAGUGCUCCGCCUGGGGAGUACGGUCGCAAGGCUGAA
rnacentral:rRNA from 1 species